rnacentral:lncRNA from 1 species
UGUGACCAUGCAGAGUCUGAGGGCCCUCUGUUCAAGAGGAAUGUUCAGAGACCUGCUAGCCCUGUACCUAUUUCACAGAACAGGAGACUGGAGGCCCCGGGAAGGAAGGACCUGCCUAAGGACACACACAGACUUCCUGGAAGAAGUGGGGACUGAAGCAAAUCUCACUGUGUCUCAAGGUCCAGACCGAUAGGUAGAAAGGAGCCUGGCCACCUUCCACUUGCCCAUCUGGAAAUGAAAGUGUUUCCCAACCUCACAGAAAGUGCAAGAGAGCAAGGCAUGAUGGGACUUCCAUGAUAGUGAACACACUGAUUGUUUAUACAGACCAGGCACAGUGCUAAGUGCUUUAUGUGAAUUAUCUCCUUUAAUCCCCCAAGAGCCCCAAGGGGUAGUCCAUAAACUUGGCCCCUUUAUGUUUUAAGAAACUGGGCUUUCUGAGAGAUAAAGUGGCCUUCCCAAGAUCUCAAAGCAACUAAGAGGAGGGGCCAGGAUUGAACCCUAGGCUCCUGUGCUAUAUACCCAAGCCAUAACCACUCUUGCCCAGGAAGAAAGCCCCAGGCUGGGAUCCAUACUCUCCUGCCAUCUCCAUGUGGCCAGCCCUCCUGGACAUUUCUCUGGUUCUCUCGGCUGAGGCAAACAGAAAGAAGAAAGACUUCCUUUCUGCCUAAGUCC